rnacentral:rRNA from 1 species
UGGGGAAUAUUGCACAAUGGGCGCAAGCCUGAUGCAGCAACGCCGCGUGAGGGAUGACGGCCUUCGGGUUGUAAACCUCUUUUAGCAGGGAAGAAGCGAAAGUGACGGUACCUGCAGAAAAAGCACCGGCUAACUACGUGCCAGCAGCCGCGGUAAUACGUAGGGUGCAAGCGUUGUCCGGAAUUAUUGGGCGUAAAGAGCUCGUAGGCGGUCUGUCGCGUCUGCUGUGAAAUCCCGAGGCUCAACCUCGGGCCUGCAGUGGGUGCGGGCAGACUAGAGUGCGGUAGGGGAGAAUGGAACUCCUGGUGUAGCGGUGGAAUGCGCAGAUAUCAGGAAGGAACACCGAUGGCGAAGGCAGUUCUCUGGGCCGUAACUGACGCUGAGGAGCGAAAGUGUGGGGAGCGAACAGGAUUAGAUACCCUGGUAGUCCACGCCGUAAACGUUGGGCGCUAGAUGUGGGGACCAUUCCACGGUUUCCGUGUCGCAGCUAACGCAUUAAGCGCCCCGCCUGGGGAGUACGGCCGCAAGGCUAAAACUC